rnacentral:sRNA from 1 species
UCCGGCACUGCUUGAGAUUGGAAAAUUCUACAUUUAAAUUCAUAAACCGAGUAGGUUGAGAAGUUGAUGGCGGGCUGCGACCUCGCAAGAGGUAUCCGUAACGGGACGGCAGAUUACAAAGACUUUUCAAACACUCAAAUCCUGUUUUUCAGGAAUUUUUCUCAACAAAUAGCAGUGCUUUUUUU